UUCAGUUGUCACUUGUACCGUUUUCGAUAAGGUAUGUCCUACUUUUACCUUAGUAUUAGUACUUAGUAGUAAAUUAAUAAUUAUUAUUUAAUAAUUAUUGUUACUCAUAAGUGAGUAUAAAUGCAUUGGAGACUAGGUACUCUUUCACUCGCACGUGCACGCAUGUUACAUAUGCGACAGCUGUUUAAGGUUGAUCGGACCUAGUAUUACAUCAUUAGCACAGAUAUGUCAUAUGAAGAGGAAAGUAUAGAAAAAAAAUAAAAAUAAAAUUCACACAGAAUAAAUCAUACCAAAAGGACAUGGUGGA